rnacentral:snRNA from 1 species
GUAUACCGUCUCGUAUAACUGU